GCUCAGGAUAAACGCUGGCGGCGUGCCUACCCUUUUCAAGUCGAACGCCCUGGAGCAAUCGAGGGAGUGGCGGACGGGUGAGUAACACGUGGGUACCUACCUGGAGGUGAGGAAUACCGGCGAGAAAUCGCCGACAAGACCGCAUAGCUUUCGAAAGAAAGAAAGUCGCUUCGGUGACGCCUCUAGAUGGGCCUGCGCCCGAUUAGCUAGUUGGUGGGGUAAAAGCCUACCAAGGCGACGAUCGGUAGCUGGUCUGAGAGGAUGAUCAGCCACACUGGGAUUGAGAACGGCCCAGACUCCUACGGGGGGCAGCAGUGAGGAAUUUUCCGCAAUGGGGGAAACCCUUUUUUUUCAACGCCGCGUGCAGGAAGACGGUCUUCGGAUCGUAAACUGCUUUUCUUGGGGACGAGAAUGGACGGUACCCAAGGAAUCAGCCCCGGCUAACUACGUGCCAGCAGCCGCGGUAAUACGUAGGGGGCAAGCGUUGUCCGGAGUUACUGGGCGUAAAGCGCACGCAGGCGGUCCUGUAAGUAGUGGGUGACAGCUCCUGGCUUCACUGGGAGAGUGUUCACUAAACUAUGGGACUUGAGGGCCAGAGAGGGACAUGGAACUCCGGGUGGAGUGGUGAAAUGCGUAGAUCUCCGGAAGAACACCAAAGGCGAAGGCUAUGUCCUGGAGGGUACCUGACGCUCAUGUGCGAGAGCUAGGCGAGCCAACGGGAUUAGAUACCCCGGUAGUCCUAGCCGUAAACGAUCACCACUAGGCCGUGUGGGGGUAUCGACCC
rnacentral:rRNA from 1 species